UGGGGAAUUUUACGCAAUGGGCGAAAGCCUGACGCAGCAACGCCGCGUGAGUGAUGAAGGCUCUUGGGUCGUAAAGCUCUGACAGAGGGAAAGAAGUGUAUGGUGGUUAAUACCCACUGUACUUGACGGUACCCUCAAAGGAAGCACCGGCUAACUCCGUGCCAGCAGCCGCGGUAAUACGGGGGGUGCAAGCGUUGUUCGGAUUUAUUGGGCGUAAAGCGCGUGUAGGCGGUUUUUUAAGUCUGAUGUGAAAGCCCCGGGCUCAACCUGGGAAGUGCAUUGGAAACUGGAAGACUUGAAUACGGGAGAGGGCAGUGGAAUUCCUAGUGUAGGAGUGAAAUCCGUAGAUAUUAGGAGGAACACCGGUGGCGAAGGCGGCUGCCUGGACCAAUAUUGACGC
rnacentral:rRNA from 1 species